rnacentral:rRNA from 1 species
GAUGAACGCUGGCGGCGUGCCUAAUACAUGCAAGUCGAACGAACAGACGAUGAGCUUGAUCCUUUGACGUUAGCGGCAAACGGGUGAGUAACACGUAGGUAACCUACCUAUAAGCCUGGUAUCACUUCGGGAAAGCGGAGAUAAUACCGGAGAAUAUUUUGCACCGCAUGGUUCGAUAGUGAAAGAUGGCUUUGCUAUAACUUAUAGAUGGACCUGCGCCGUAUUAGCUAGUUGGUAAGGUAACGGCUUACCAAGGCAACGAUGCGUAGCCGACCUGAGAGGGUGAUCGGCCACACUGGAACUGAGACACGGUCCAGACUCCUACGGGAGGCAGCAGUAGGGAAUCUUCCGCAAAGGGCGAAAGCCUGACGGAGCAACGCCGCGUGAGUGAUGAAGGUCUUCGGAUCGUAAAACCCUGUUAUUAGGGAAGAACAAACGUGUAAGUAACUGUGCACGUCUUGACGGUACCUAAUCAGAAAGCCACGGCUAACUACGUG